rnacentral:rRNA from 1 species
AGUAACGCGUGGGUAACCUGCCUCAUACAGGGGGAUAACAGUUAGAAAUGACUGCUAAUACCGCAUAAGCGCACAGUGCUGCAUGGCACAGUGUGAAAAACUCCGGUGGUAUGAGAUGGACCCGCGUCUGAUUAGCUAGUUGGUGGGGUAACGGCCUACCAAGGCGACGAUCAGUAGCUGGCCUGAGAGGGUGAACGGCCACAUUGAGACUGAGACACGGCCCAAACUCCUACGGGAGGCAGCAUG